rnacentral:tRNA from 1 species
UCCCUGGUGGCUCAGACGGUAAAGCGUCUACAUGCAAUGUAGGAGACCUGGGUUCGAUCCCUAGGUCGGGAA